UAUGGUCAAAUUACGUUGAAAAAACCGGUUCUCGUUCGAUCACCGAAGUUAAGCAGUGUCGAAUCCGGUUAGUAUUAGAUGGGGAAUCGUUUGGGAAUGCUAAUACUG